AAAGCAAGUCGAACGAUGAUCCGGUGCUUGCACCGGGGAUUAGUGGCGAACGGGUGAGUAACACGUGAGUAACCUGCCCUUAACUCUGGGAUAAGCCUGGGAAACUGGGUCUAAUACCGGAUAUGACUGAUCAUCGCAUGGUGGUUGGUGGAAAGCUUUUUGUGGUUUUGGAUGGACUCGCGGCCUAUCAGCUUGUUGGUGAGGUAAUGGCUUACCAAGGCGACGACGGGUAGCCGGCCUGAGAGGGUGACCGGCCACACUGGGACUGAGACACGGCCCAGACUCCUACGGGAGGCAGCAGUGGGGAAUAUUGCACAAUGGGCGAAAGCCUGAUGCAGCGACGCCGCGUGAGGGAUGACGGCCUUCGGGUUGUAAACCUCUUUCAGUAGGGAAGAAGCGAAAGUGACGGUACCUGCAGAAGAAGCGCCGGCUAACUACGUGCCAGCAGCCGCGGUAAUACGUAGGGCGCAAGCGUUAUCCGGAAUUAUUGGGCGUAAAGAGCUCGUAGGCGGUUUGUCGCGUCUGCCGUGAAAGUCCGGGGCUCAACUCCGGAUCUGCGGUGGGUACGGGCAGACUAGAGUGAUGUAGGGGAGACUGGAAUUCCUGGUGUAGCGGUGAAAUGCGCAGAUAUCAGGAGGAACACCGAUGGCGAAGGCAGGUCUCUGGGCAUUAACUGACGCUGAGGAGCGAAAGCAUGGGGAGCGAACAGGAUUAGAUACCCUGGUAGUCCAUGCCGUAAACGUUGGGCACUAGGUGUGGGGGACAUUCCACGUUUUCCGCGCCGUAGCUAACGCAUUAAGUGCCCCGCCUGGGGAGUACGGCCGCAAGGCUAAAACUCAAAGGAAUGAGGGGGGGGCCCGCACAAGCGGCGGAGCAUGCGGAUUAAUUCGAUGCAACGCGAAGAACCUUACCAGGCUUGACAUGAACCGGAAAGACCUGGAACAGUGCCCCGCUUGCGUCGGUUU
rnacentral:rRNA from 1 species